ensembl:snRNA U6 U6 spliceosomal RNA
GUGCUUGUUUCAGCAGCACAUAUACUAAAACUGGAAUGAUGUAGAGAAGAUUAGCAUGGCCCCUGAGCAAGGAUGACAUGCAAAUUUGUGAAGUGUUCCACAUUUUU